AAUUUUUAUUUUUGAGAGAGAGCGCGCGCACGAGCGGGGGAGGGGCAGAAAGAGAGGGAGACGCAGAAUCCAAAGCAGGUUCCAGGCUCUGAGCUGUCCGCACCAGACCGGAAGCGGGGCUUGGACUCACGAACUGUGAGUUCAUGACGCUUAACUAACUGAGCCACCCAGGCGCCCCUUCUCAACCUGUAUUUUAUUGAGCACCUCUGUGCUUCAGGUACCAGGGUGAAGAAGGCAGGGUUGGUUCUUGAGUUUGGUGGAACUAGGGCUCUGGUAGAGGAGACAUAUUGAACAAAUAAGUGUAGGAAACAUUAAUUUGUUAUAACUGAGAUAUUUACCGCAAAGAAGCAGCACAGGCUCUGGGGAGAAGGUGGAGUCAGCCGAAGUCCUCUCCUGAAUCUGAGCCACAGAUCACAGUCUUGUCAUAUGUGAUUUCUGGAUCUCCAUCUCUACUCGCCCCCACAGUCAGUAGCAUGCUGGGUUUGCAGUUGAAUUCUCAGGAUGCAGAAAACAGACAUGCAGCCCUCUAUAAUCUGUGAAGGUGUCUCAUCCACCCAUCUCUUCAUGGCAAACCCAUUUAUUGUGACUCUGCCAGACAGUUCAACAAUUCUAGCUCUGUUAACCACCCUGGUUUCAUUUUAAUGUCAACACCACUGCCCAGGACAUGGGAGUCUAGAAUUGAACCCAUUUGGCAGGAAAUGGGAUAAUGGAAGGAUUGUUCCAUAGAGCAUCACUACUACAACUAACUAUAAAUAAAGAUGAAUGGUUUCACCAGCUCAAAGGACUUUCCCAUGUGUAUGUCAUUCAGACAUCAUAGCUCUGUGGGAGGAAGUUCUAUUUUUUUUAAAUGAGGAAACUUGAGUA